rnacentral:rRNA from 1 species
UACGGGGGGGGCAAGCGUUGUUCGGAAUUACUGGGCGUAAAGGGCUCGUAGGUGGCCAACUAAGUCAGACGUGAAAUCCCUCGGCUUAACCGGGGAACUGCGUCUGAUACUGGAUGGCUAGAGUUUGGGAGAGGGAUGCGGAAUUCCAGGUGUAGCGGUGAAAUGCGUAGAUAUCUGGAGGAACACCGAUGGCGAAGGCAGGUCUCUGGGCCACUACUGACGCUGAGAAGCGAAAGCAUGGGGAGCGAACAGG